UUUCGUCGCUUCUUGCAGUUUGCCAGAGUGUGUGAGGUUGAAGACAAAGACUGCAAAGAAGGAAAAAGGAAAACUAUCUGCACCAGAGACAAGGAGGAGGACCAUAUGUACGACUUGUUCUAUACAAGACACUGUCUCCACAAAAGAGCCUGUCAGCACAGAGUAAGCCACAUCAUACAAGAAAUGAUUGCAGAGGCUUUUUUUAAAGCAGACGGUCACAUUCAGAUUGAAGGAUCAGGAGGGAGGAUGUUCACUCUCUCUACAGCCAAUGAGGACAUGGAGGCCUACACAAAGCUCACAGGUGUGUAGAUUUAAAUGUGUGCUGUUAGCUCAUGUUUAACAUUGAAGCCAA